AUACGGAGGAUCCGAGCGUCAUCCGGAUUUAUUGGGUUUAAAGGGUGCGCAGGCGGCCAUUUAAGUCAGCGGUUAAAUCGUGGGGCUCAACCCCAUUCUGCCGUUGAUACUGGGUGGCUUGAUUGCGGUCGAGGUUGGCGGAAUUCGUUGUGUAGCGGGGAAAUGCAUAGAUAUGACGAAGAACACCGAUUGCGUAGGCAGCUGACCAGACCGCAAAUGACGCUCAUGCACGAAAGUGCGGGGAUCGAACAGGAUUAGAUACCCUGGUAGUCCGCACAGUAAACGAUGAAUACUUGUUUUCGGCGAUAUAAUGUCGGAGGCAAAGCGAAAGCGAUAAGUAUUCCACCUGGGGAGUACGCCGGCAACGGUGAAACUCAAAUGAAUUGACGGGG
rnacentral:rRNA from 1 species